AGCGAACGCUGGCGGCAGGCUUAACACAUGCAAGUCGAACGGGCACUUCGGUGCUAGUGGCAGACGGGUGAGUAACGCGUGGGAACGUACCUUUCGGUUCGGAAUAAUUCAGGGAAACUUGGACUAAUACCGGAUACGCCCUUUGGGGGAAAGAUUUAUCGCCGUUAGAUCGGCCCGCGUCUGGUUAGCUAGUUGGGGAGGUAAUGGCACACCAAGGCGACGAUCAGUAGGUGGUCGGAAAGGAUGAUCAGCAACAUUGGGAGUGAGACCCGGCCCAAACUCGGACGGGAGGCGGCGGGGGGGAAUAUUGAAGAAUGGGCGCAAGCCUGAUCUAGCCAGGCCGCGGGGGUGAUGAAGGACUUAGGGUCGUAAAGCCCUUGCGCGGGGAAGGUUAAUGACGGUACCCGGUAAAGAAACCCCGGCUAACUCCGUGCCAGCCGCCGCCGUAAGAC
rnacentral:rRNA from 1 species